ensembl:lncRNA
GGGGUCAGUGUCCUUAAAGCUUUGGAAAAGAGCAGAGGAGAACCCUGGGAGGAAGACCUGAAUUCCAAGCUAUUGGAUUUGCAAACUGAUUCUCCACAAAGUUUCUUGGAAAGAACUCGGACACAUCAGCUUCUGAGUAUUUUAAAAGAUGUAACCUUCGGGUUAUUUUGUGAACUUUGGUUUUUUUGUUUACAGUGCUAAAGGGUGAGAUUGGUUAAGACACACUGGAGAAAACCGCGGGCAGUUUUUCUUAUACGUUUAUUACCCGUGUACAAUUGUGGUUUGUAUUUCAUUCUUUACUAAUACAUACUGCUUUACGAACAUAAAGAAAAACAAGGGAAAAUACGGUCCCACCUAAUCCUGCGAAGAGCAACCUCUGGCUCUCAUCAGGCCGAGACGGAGGAAUGUGCUUACCUUGAACAUGUGUAAGCGCUUCCAUCGAGUCCCCACCUACAGAGCGAAGCACGUACAUUACUCUUUUGGGGCUGUAAAGCCUCACCUCCAUUGAAACACAACAGAAAGCUGCCGAAGCACAGGUACCCCGCCCCAGCAGCUCGGGCAGCUCUGCGGGCCGGGUCCCCCAGGUUCACACAGGUACUUCCCAGGCUCGCCUUUCCCAGGCGGCGCCGGCUGCGGAGCCGGGCCCCGGAGCUCGCCGGGCCCCGCGGGCACUGGCCCGGCCGGGCCCCCUCCCCGCCCGGGAGCGCCCCUGACGUCAGGCCGGCCCCAGAUUGGCUGCGCCCCCCCCCCCCCCCCCCCCCCCCCCCCCCCCCCCCCCCCCCCCCCCCCCCCCCCCCCCCCCCCCCCCCCCCCCCCCCCCCCCCCCCCCCCCCCCCCCCCCCCCCCCCCCCCCGCAGCCCCCCGGCAGCCGAGACAUCUGCUCUCCAUUGCGACCACCCCCCUCCAGCAAACACCCUUCCCCUGCUGCUCCUCCUCCCUUCCCGCUCCGGCUCGCAGCUCGGCUCGCACCCGCCCCCCCCCCCCCCCCCCCCCCCCCCCCCCCCCGCCGCUUCCUUUCUUCCAACGAUGUUUUCCUGCUCCGCGGGGCGAAGUGUUUGCUGAACUUUCCGAACAGUUUGGGGGGCGGGCGGGAGGAUCCCGAGGCUCUUUUCCUUCUCCGCCCGCCCGGAGCAGGUUGGGGGGCAGCGAGCGGAGGAGGGACCCGCGCCCCGGGCGCAGGUCGCGCACACGCGCGUCCUUUGGCGGAGAGGAAAGCCUUGCGCUGCACCAGGGCUCCGCGAAGUUCGCCGGCUGCCGGGGCUGCCGCUGUGGAAAUGGGUCGGAUCAGAUGGGGCUUCCUCCUCCUCGCUGCCUGGGCACUUUUGUCACGAGGGCUCGCAGCCUCCGAAAAGGGCAGGCUAAGGAGGAUCACGUACGUGCUGCAGCCCGGCCGGGGGGGCUCCUCUGGCAGCCGGCAGCAGCGCCCGACGCUCCUCGGGAGGGAGCAGCAGCAGCAGCGCACCUUCAAUGUGCAGCUGAACGCGCGCUACGGCGGCGGCCCCCCGGAGCGGACCCGGCGCCCCCCCCCCCCCCCCCCCCCCCCCAGCGGACCCGGCGGAGGAGCAAGCCGGGCAGCGCCGCCGUGCAGCUCCGCCUGGGCCCCGCCGGCCAGGGCCACCCCAACUCCGCCGCUCACGCCUCCUCCUUCGCCAAGCCGGCCCGCUUCAGCCCGCGCCUCAAGGCGCCGCCGGGCCCCCACGGCAACAGCAAGAUCGGAACCCCCCCCCCCCCCCCCCCCCCCCCCCCCCCCCCCCCCCCCCCCCCCCCCCCCCCC